rnacentral:lncRNA from 10 species
CACUGGGCCUGAGCUCCCCUGCAAGCAAGGAAGGACCUCCCUGGGGCAGAGGCUGAGAGGAAGAGCCUCCCCGGGGCAGAGGUGUGACAGCUGAGCCAGAGCCAGGGGGCAGGGGAAGGUUGGGGGGUCCCUCGGCGUGUUUGUCAGCCCUGACCUCAGUGUGGGAGAACUGUGUGUGGCUCCCACACCAGAAAGGAGAGAGACACCGGGCCAGCUGCUCCUUUGAGAAUCUGCUGCAUAUGGAGGAGCAUGAUUUUUGGAAUGAGCAUAUGGUUUUGGAACCCAAAAAUGUGUGCUGCGAUCCUGAUACCCUUAUUGCAUUAAAUGGUUGUAUGGGAAGACACAUAAACAGCCCACAUCACAAAUUGCAAUUGGUUGGAUCUGGUGGGGCCGAUCUGGAAGGCAGAACACAGCAGAGGAAAUCUCUCAAACUCGGCAGACUCUGCACUUGAUGGAUCAGCUGGCAUCAUCCAGAUCAAUAAACUGGCUCACUUGAUCUUGGCCCCCAACCCAGGAACUGACUCAGCGCAAGAAGACUGCUCCAACUCCCUAUGAUUUCAUCUCUGACCAAUCGGCACUCCUGGCUCACUGGUUUCCCCCUACCUACCAAAUUAUCCUUAAAACCUGUGCUCCCCUCCCAAAUGCUCAGAGAGACUGAUUUGAGUAAUAAUAAAACUCUGGUCUCCUGCACAGCC